UACAGAGGUCUCAAGCGUUGUUCGGAUUCAUUGGGCGUAAAGGGUGCGUAGGCGGCGCGGUAAGUCGGAUGUGAAAUCUCGGAGCUUAACUCCGAAACUGCAUUCGAUACUGCCGUGCUUGAGGACUGGAGAGGAGACUGGAAUUUACGGUGUAGCGGUGAAAUGCGUAGAUAUCGUAAGGAACACCAGUGGCGAAAGCGACUUCCUGGACCAGUACCGACGUUCAGGCACGAAAGCGUGGGGAGCAAACAGG
rnacentral:rRNA from 1 species